UAUACUUUACACAUUCCUCUUAUCGAAAAAAAAAUUGUAUAUUUGUUAAUAAAGUAUUGUGUUCCUCUUCUAUAUCAUCACCAAAUGAACACGACAGGGCAUUGACUCUACUUGCUUUUUCAGGACACAUAAAUUUUUUUCCAUUACGCUUGGAAGGAGCAUAUACUAUUCCUACGCAGACACAAUGUAUUGCUAACAAAACUAUUCACUCGGCCACGGAUGCAAAGAGAGUUCAGCCCCCAUUCACCACAGAAUCAAAUAAAUAAAUAGACGACAACCUUAAACAAAUAAGCAGUUACAGUUACUACACCGAAAGCACGUCUUUCGUUUCGCCUUUUAGAAAAUCGAAUCGCACAGUAAGCCGAAUUUCUCAAAAGUGGAAUAAGCCAAGGCGAAUAUAUUCAAGGUGGUAUCGAUAAAUCAGCUGAUUUGUUUUUGUUUUUCUUUCACCGAGUCCAUGUAGCUGUCAGCACAGAAUGAAACAAAGCGAAUUCAUUUUUGGUUUUCUACUCUUCCAAUACUUUGCUGUGACAAUCCAAAGUACAAAGCAUUGUUGUUGGUCACAACCUUAAUGAAUGCACCUUGGAAUAAGCAGAGAGAAAAAUGUAUUGGACUUUUCAAAAAAAUUGGCUAUAUACUUAUAAGCUUAAUAUAAAUCGGCUGUG